rnacentral:rRNA from 1 species
UACGGAGGGUGCAAGCGUUAAUCGGAAUUACUGGGCGUAAAGGGCGCGUAGGCGGUCUUGCAAGUCCUGUGUGAAAUCCCUCGGCUCAACUGAGGAACUGCACAGGAAACUGCUUGGCUCGAGUCCGGAAGAGGCGAGUGGAAUUCCUGGUGUAGCGGUGAAAUGCGCAGAUAUCAGGAGGAACACCGAUGGCGAAGGCAGCUCGCUGGGACGUGACUGACGCUGAGACGCGAAAGCGUGGGGAGCAAACAGG